GGCGGCGUGGAUUAGGCAUGCAAGUCGAACGCGAAAGGUCACCUUCGGGUGAACGAGUAGAGUGGCGAACUGGUGAGUAACAGGUGGGUAAUGUGCCUCUUAGUGUGGGAUAACCUCUGGAAACAGUGGCUAAUACCUCAUGUGGCACGGUUAACGUUGGUUGACCGUGUUAAAGACUUCGGUCGCUAAGAGAGCAGCCCGCCCCCGAUUAGCUUGUUGGUAGGGUAACGGCCUACCAAGGCUCCGAUCGGUAGGUGGCCUGAGAGGGUGGUCACUCACACUGGGACUGAGAUACGGCCCAGACUCCUACGGGGGGCAGCAGUCUAGAAGCUUCCACAAUGGACGAAAGUCUGAUGGAGCGACGCCGCGUGUGGGAUGACAGCCGUGAGGUUGUAAACCACUGUCAGCAGGGAAGAAUGCCUUGAUGGUGAAUCAGGGAGAGACGGUACCUGCAGAGGAAGCCCCGGCUAACUCCGUGCCAGCAGCCGCGGUAAUACGGAGGGGGCAAACGUUGUUCGGAUUUACUGGGCGUAAAGGGUGUCUAGGCGGUUCGAUUAGUCUGGUGUGAAAUAUCCUCGCUCAACGAGGAAAACGCAUUGGAAACUGUCGAGCUCGAGAGUGGAAGAGGCAGGUGGAAUUUCUGGUGUAGCGGUGGAAUGCGUAGAUAUCAGAAAGAACACUCGUGGCGAAGGCGGCCUGCUGGUCCAUUUCUGACGCUGAAGCACGAAAGCUAGGGGAGCGAACGGGAUUAGAUACCCCGGUAGUCCUAGCCGUAAACGUUGAACACUGGAUGUCGGGGGUAUCGACCCCCUCGGUGUCGGAGCUAACGCGUUAAGUGUUCCGCCUGGGGAGUACGACCGCAAGGUUGAAACUCAAAGGAAUUGACGGGGGCCCGCACAAGCGGUGGAGGAUGUGGUUUAAUUCGACGCAACGCGAAGAACCUUACCUGGGCUUAAACCGCAGGGUAAACCCUCUGAAAGGAGGGCUGCUUCGGCAAUCCUGUAGAGGUGCUGCAUGGCUGUCGUCAGCUCGUGUCGUGAGAUGUUGGGUUAAGUCCCGCAACGAGCGCAACCCUUGCUCUUAGUUACCAGCGCGUAAUGGCGGGGACUCUAAGAGGACUGCCCUCGCAAGGGGGAGGAAGGUGGGGAUGACGUCAAGUCCUCAUGGCCCUUAUG
rnacentral:rRNA from 1 species